CAAAAACAUGUCUUUUUGAUUAUAAUUUAAAGUCUAACCUGCCCAAUGAGGAGUUAAAUGGCCGCGGUAUUUUGACCGUGCAAAGGUAGCAUAAUCAUUAGUUUUUUAAUUGAAAGCUGGUAUGAAUGGUUGGACGAGAAAACAACUGUCUCAAUUUAAUUGAAAAUAGAAUUUUAUUUAUAAGUUAAAAAGCUUAUAUAAGUUUAAAAGACGAGAAGACCCUAUAGAAUUUUAUAUAAUAUUAUAUAUAUUAUUUUUAGAAUUUUAUUUAUAUAUAUAUAUUAUUAUAUUUUGUUGGGGUGAUGGAAAAAUUUAAUGAACUUUUUUUAUAUUUGAACAUUAAUGUAUGAUUAAAUGAUCCGUUAUUUACGAUUAUAAGAUUAAAUUACCUUAGGGAUAACAGCGUAAUUUUUUUUUAGAGUUCUUAUCGAAAAAAGAGUUUGCGACCUCGAUGUUGGAUUAAAAUUAACUUUUGGUGUAGGAGCU
rnacentral:rRNA from 1 species